rnacentral:rRNA from 1 species
AUUGAACGCUGGCGGCAGGCCUAACACAUGCAAGUCGAACGAGUGGCGGACGGGUGAGUAAUGUCUGGGAACCUGCCUGAUGGAGGGGGAUAACUACUGGAACCGGUAGCUAAUACCGCAUACCAUUGGAUGUGCCCAUAUGGGAUUAGCUAGUAGGUGGGGUAAAGGCUCACCUAGGCGACGAUCCCUAGCUGGUCUGAGAGGAUGACCAGCCACCAUGGAACUGAGACACGGUCCAGACGCCUACGGUAGGCAGCAGUGGGGAAUAUUGCACAAUGGGCGAAAGCCUGAUGCAGCCAUGCCGCGUGUAUGAAGAAGGCCUUCGGGUUGUAAAGUACUUUAAGUUGGGAGGCGUUACCAACAGAAGAAGCACCGGCUAACUUCGUGCCAGCAGCCGCGGUAAUUC